GGGAUCUCAAGGGCAAAGAUGUGUUAAAACAUAACCAAACACUCCAGGACCUUGGGAAAGAAAUCUGUAUCAGACAUGUGGGCUUCAUUAAGGGAAAUGCCUUCAGAAGAUUAUUUUUCCAUGUUAUGAGAAAAAAUCUCAACAACCACAGCAGAUGUUCCAGUGCCCAGGUGACCUAGAAGCUUCAUGUGGAGGUGAUGGAACUUCAGUAGGCCUGGAAGUGAUGCAGUAUCUUCUGCCCUCAAUUUCAGAGUUUGGAUCCAGGAUGCUCAGACAUAAUAAUGCUCAUGAUAUUCAAGGUCACUUCUAUCACCUGGAGAUGUGGCUGCUUCAUGGCUUAAAUGUGACUGAAGAGUUACUGGAGUGGGGACUAGAACAAGCAGAGAAAUCUCAUUUUCUAGGCAUCUUAAAAGGAAGGCAGAGUAUCAUUUCCCUGAAGUAUUUGAGUGCAGGCCAUUUUAAAACCAUAGAUAGAACAGGAAACUUUUUGUGAUCAAAAAUAUGGUUGGUAUCAGAAUGGAAGAAAAUCUUCACAAUCUAUACAUCUGACAAAGGGCUAAUAUCCAGAAUCUACAACAAACUCAAACAAGUUAGCAAGAAAAAAUAAACAAUCCCACCAAAAAGUGGGCUAAAGACAUGAAUAGACAAUUCUCAAAAGAAGAUAUACAAAUGGCCAACAAACGUAUACAAAAAUGCUCAACAUCACUAAUGAUCAGGGAAUGCAAAUCUUAAAACCACAACGUGAUUCCACCUUACUCUUGCAAGAAUGGCCAUAAUAAAAAAAAUAAAAAAUAAAUAGAUGUUGGCGUGGAUGCGAUGAAAAGGGAACACUUUUAUGCUGCUGGUGGGAAUGUAAACUAAUACAACCACUCUGGAAAACAGUGUGGAGAUUCUUUAAAGAACUAAAAGUAGAACUGCCAUUUGACCCAGCAAUCUCACUACUGGGUAUCUACUGAGAGGAAAAGAAGUCAUUAUACGAAAAAGAUACUUGCAUAUGCAUGUUUAUAGCAGCAAAAUUCGCAAUUGCAAAAAUGUGGAACCAACCCAAAUGCCCAUCAAUCAAUGAGUGGAUAAAGAAACUGUGGUAUAUAUAUACGAUAGAAUACUACUCAUCCAUAAAACGAAUGAAUUAAUGGCAUUCACAGCAACCUGGGUGGGAUUAGAGACUAUUAAUCUAAGUGAAGUAACUCAGGAAUGGAAAACCAAACAUCAUAUAUUCUUACUUAUAAGUGGGAGCUGAGCUAUGAGGAUGCAAAGGCAUAAGAAUGACACAAUGGACUUUGGGGACUCUGGGGGAAAGGGUGGGAAGGAGGUGAGGGAUAAAAGACUGCAAAUUGGGUUUAGUGUAUACUGCUAGGGUGACAGGUGCACCAAAAUCUCACAAAUCACCACUAAGGAACUUGCUCAUGUAACCAAACACCGCCUAUUCUCCAAAAAUCUAUGGCAAUAAAAAAUUUAAAUAAAUAUAUGGUUGGUAACAUUUGACCAUAUGUAUAG
rnacentral:lncRNA from 1 species